AAAAGAAGAUCAAGAAAUUGCUUCAGCAUGAAGCUUUCUUGAUGGAGGGGAGCGGCAGACGGGUGAGUAACGCGUGGGAAUCUACCGAGCCCUAAGGAAUAACUCCGGGAAACUGGAACUAAUACCUUAUACGCCCUACGGGGGAAAGAUUUAUCGGGGUUUGAUGAGCCCGCGUUGGAUUAGCUAGUUGGUGGGGUAAAGGCCUACCAAGGCGACGAUCCAUAGCUGGUCUGAGAGGAUGAUCAGCCACACUGGGACUGAGACACGGCCCAGACUCCUACGGGAGGCAGCAGUGGGGAAUCUUGCGCAAUGGGGGCAACCCUGACGCAGCCAUGCCGCGUGAAUGAUGAAGGCCUUAGGGUUGUAAAGUUCUUUUGCCCGUGACGAUGAUGACGGUAACGGGAGAAUAAGUUCCGGCUAACUUCGUGCCAGCCGCCGCAGUAAUAC
rnacentral:rRNA from 1 species